ensembl:lncRNA
CACGUCAAGUAGGCGGCGUUAUAUUAUGCAUAUGUUACAUUCACAUUGCGGGCGUUUAGCAAACGCUUUUAUCCAGAGCGCCUUACAACAGGUUGAUUAGUGCCAAGGACUAACCCUCACUAGGUUAACCCAUUCCCCGAAUACAACACAGAUAACUAGGUUAACCCAUUCCCUGUAUACAACACAGAUAGCUAGGUUAACCCAUUCCCUGUAUACAACACAGAUAGCUAGGUUAACCCAUUCCCCGUACACAACACAGAUAGCUAGGUUAACCCAUUCCCCGUACACAACACAGAUAGAUAGGUUAACCCAUUCCCUGUACACAACACAGAUAACUAGGUUAACCCAUUCCCCGUAUACAACCCAGAUAGCUAGGUUAACCCAUUCCCUGUAUACAACACAGAGAGCUAGGUUAACCCAUUCCCUGUAUACAGAUAGCUAGGUUAACCCAUUCCCUGUAUACAGAUAGCUAGGUUAACCCAUUCCCCGUAUCCAGAGAGCUAGGGUAAGACCCUACGGCUACGCCAUGCUAGCCUCUUCUGUUCUGGCCCCCGAUCAGGCCCCUCUCCUUUCCUCG